UACAGACGCUUGUAUUCCCUUGA
rnacentral:siRNA from 1 species